AUUAUUAACACAUUCCAGAUUCAUAAUAAUUUUUAAAAUAAUAUUUGGAAUGUAUUUUAGAAUCUGUUCAUAACAGCGGUGCCUUACCAUCCGCCAAACCACAGUUCUCUGCAAUACAAUAUAAAUAAUUUGAGUGGUGGACCGAUUAUAGUAGUUGGUCAAAAUCUAUUUGAUUUCCAAUGUACGAACUGAAAUUAGCAACCCCAAAUCCAAGUAAAAUAAACACGGGUCUACAUUCUGUGUUUGUUUAUAUUAUGUUUUAAUAUUUUAACAUAUAAACAGGGGUGUAUGUUUAUUAAUAUAAACACUAUGUUUACAUUACAAAUAUUUGUCAUGGCUAAAAUAUUUUUCAUUAUUAUUUUGUGUCAAAAGGUGAACGUCGCUUUAGUAUAUUUUAGUACAUCAUGGUAUAGUAAACAAGUAUGUCGAGUUACAGAAAAACCCAUGUCAAUAUACUCUAAUGGAAAAUUUCGAACACCAUAUUAUCAGCUGUGUAAAGUAAUAUUAUAUAUAGAUACUAAUCGAGAGGGGUGUGCCACAUUAGCUUCGAUGAUAUCGAAUGGUUCAAGACACACUGUGCAGAUAAGCAGAGAAGAUAACUGGUAUUCAUAAUGACGAUCAGAAACAAAAUCAUAACACCCAUACGUAAAGUCCGUGGUAACAAAGUGAUCUACAAAAUACAUUAUAUAAUCAAACUCUUAUCUAGUUCCAGCUUAGGAUUUGUGGCGAUUCCGGAAGAGAUUAAGAAACAAAACCUUGUCUAGUUCCAGGAACAGUAAUUGCACUAUAUGCAAAACGUGUUUGACAUUUCACACUGUGAAAAACAAUUCUUUUAUUAAGUGAGGAUCUUGUAGUUUUAUAUUUUCAAAGCAA